AUACUGAGGGUGCAAGCGUUAAUCGGAAGUACUGGGCGUAAAGCGCACGGAGGCGGUUUAUUAAGUCAGAUGUGAAAGCCCUGGGCUUAACCUGGGAACUGCAUUUGAGACUGGUAGGCUAGAGUUUGGUAGAGGAUAGUGGAAUUCCGGGUGUAGCGGUGAAAUGCGUAGAUAUCCGGAGGAACAUCAGUGGCGAAGGCGGCUAUCUGGACCAAUACUGACGCUGAGGUGCGAAAGCGUGGGGAGCAAACAGGAUUAGAAACCCUAGUAGUCC
rnacentral:rRNA from 1 species